rnacentral:rRNA from 1 species
AGGUGAAAGGAGGAAUCCGGUUUAAGAUGGGCCCGCGUCCAAUUAGCUAGUUGGUGAGGUAAGAGCGCACCAAGGCGACGAUUGGUAGCCGAACUGAGAGGUUGAGCGGCCACAUUGGGACUGAGAUACGGCCCAGAGGCCUACGGGAGGCAGCAGUGGGGAAUAUUGCGCAAUGGGGGGAACCCUGACGCAGCGACGCCGCGUGAAGGAAGGAGGUCUUCGGAUUGUAAACUUCUUUGAUUAGGGAAGAGGAAGGACGGUACCUAAAGAACAAGCCACGGCUAACUACGUGCCAGCAGCCGCGGUAAUACGUAGGUGGCAAGCGUUGUCCGGAAUUACUGGGUGUAAAGGGCGAGUAGGUGGAUCACUAAGUCAGAGGUGAAAACCCAUGGCUAAACUGUGGGAUAGCAACUGAAACUAGAGAUCUUGAGUACUGGAGAGGGAAGCGGAAUUCCUAGUGUAGCGGUGAAAUGCGUAGAUAUUAGGAGGAACACCAGUGGCGAAGGCGGCUUCCUGGACAGAGACUGACACUGAGGCGCGAAAGCGUGGGGAGCGAACAGGAUUAGAUACCCUGGUAGUCCACGCUGUAAACGAUGGAUACUAGGUGUAGGUGGUAAGAAACCAUCUGUGCCGGAGUAAACACAAUAAGUAUCCCACCUGGGGAGUACAGCCGCAAGGUUGAAACUCAAAGGAAUUGACGGGGGCCCGCACAAGCAGUGGAGUAUGUGGUUUAAUUCGAAGCAACGCGAAGAACCUUACCAGGGCUUGACAUCCCUUGAACUAUCUAGAGAUAGGUAGGGCCUACGGGACAAGGAGACAGGUGGUGCAUGGUUGUCGUCAGCUCGUGUCGUGAGAUGUUGGGUUAAGUCCCGCAACGAGCGCAACCCUUAUAGCUAGUUGCCAGCAAUAAGAUGGGGACUCUAGCGAGACAGCCGUUGAGAAAACGGCGCAAGGAAAGGAUGACGUCAAAUCAUCAUGCCCCUUAUGCUCUGGGCUACACACGUACUACAAUGGCUACUACAGAGGGAAGCGAAGCCAGGAGGCGGAGC